GACGGAAGGUGCAAGCGUUGCUCGGAAUCACUGGGCGUAAAGGGUGCGUAGGCGGCUUGGUAAGUUGGGUGUGAAAGCCCCGGGCUCAGCCCGGGAAGGGUACUCGAAACUGCCGAGCUGGAGUGCCGGAGGGGAGAGUGGAAUUCCUGGUGUAGCGGUGAAAUGCGUAGAUAUCAGGAGGAAUACCGGUGGCGAAAGCGACUCUCUGGACGGCAACUGACGCUGAGGCACGAAAGCGUGGGGAGCAAACAGG
rnacentral:rRNA from 1 species